rnacentral:tRNA from 1 species
UAUGAGAUAGUAUAGGGAGUACUUAGAGUUUUGAUCUCUACAGGAAAAGUUCAAGUCUUUUUCUUAUAG